AGUGAACGCUGGCGGUAUGCCUAACACAUGCAAGUCGAACGGCAGCACAGUAAGCGCUUGCUCUUACGGGUGGCGAGUGGCGGACGGGUGACGAAUACAUCGGCAUCUUCUUUUUCUGGGGGGAUUACGUAAGGCAACUUCUGCUAAUACCGCAUACGAUCUACGGCUGAAAGCAAUGGUGCUUCAGGCCUUGCGCGAUUCAAUGAGACGAGGCCGGAUUAGCUAGUUGGCGUGGUAAAGGCCCACCAAGGCGACGAUCCGUAGCUGGUCUGAGAGGAUGAUCGGCCACACUGGAACUGAGACACGGUCCAGACUCCUACGGGAGGCAGCAGUGGGGAAUAUUCGACAAUGGGCGAAAGCCUGAUCGAGCCAUACCGCGUGGGUGAAGAAGGUCUUCGGGUUGUAAAGCCCUUUUAUUGGGAAAGAAAAGCUGCAGGUUAAUACACGGCUGUUCUGACGGUACCCAAAGAAUAAGCACCGGCUAACUUCGUG
rnacentral:rRNA from 1 species